GCCUCCAUAGCUCAGUUGGCAGAGCACUUCCAUGGUAAGGAAGGGGUCCCCGGUUCAAGUCCGGGUGGGGGCUCCA
rnacentral:tRNA from 1 species